rnacentral:lncRNA from 1 species
AUGCCGGCCCAACAUGGCGGCCUUCUCUCCCCAGCCCACCAGCAGCACCUGAGGAGGAUGCUGGGAGAGCUGAGGGUGCACAAUGCGCAUGCUCCUGAGCCCAAAUCUCGGGAGCCCGCUGGAAUCUCACGGAGUCUGCACGGUGGCCGCCUGGGCUCAGUGGGCGGGGACUUCGCAGGAGAAGCAGCCGAGGGAAGAGCCGCAAGAUGGGUACGAGGGAUGGAGGGGUCCUGUGGGCGCGUAUCCACUAAUAGGGUGAAGAGCUGUGGUUCACUCAUACAGUCACAUAAAUCAGUUCACGUUUUCUUUGAAGCAAGUAGAAGCUCUGCAUCUUGUGAUAAGUCUCUGAAGUACAGUGGAAAUGAGAAUCUGGCAAACACCUCUAAUGAAGUAUUCUCUUAAAAUACCAAAAUGAAAUUAAAAACAAAGAAACUCUGAAAGGAUCAAGUAAUGGAACAAAAAGAUGUGCUGUUAUUGUUCCCAGAUCAAAGAACAAGAGAAAGAUACAAAAGGAAGUAAUGUAUUAAUUGAUCCAAAAUUAUUUUUCUUGUUUUCUAGGGUUUGGGAAUCUGUUUUAUCAAUACUAUGUGUGUGCGUGUGUUCUAUCAAUAAUCUUACUAUGCUAGUCACUGAAACAACAAUAGAAAUCAAGUGAUUUUAGGACUUAGGAUUUACCUGUUAAUUAUGAAGGUCAUUUGUGACUGCUUCUCUCCAGAUGGUAGGAUUAAUCAAAGAAUGAACAAGAAAUGUUUUCAGUAAAGUGCUGUUACACAUGAAUAGCAAAAUGGCCUUUCAGUCAUUUUUGUAGGAAAUAAAUUUUUGUAUUUUAAAUUUGAAUAAUGAAAU